GUUAGCAAUUGAUGUAAUUUUUACAAUAAAUUUUACAACAACGCACUGUAUUCAUGUUUUUGUUGUAAAUCCAAAUGCAUGAUGGGAAAUUAACGGACAGUCCUGUAAAAUUAUUGUAACUACACUGUAGAAGCAUUUUUUUACAGCAACCGCAUAGCAUUGUGGGAUCGCUGCUGUUUGAAUUUUGAAAUUACGCGGCCAACGGACGGUACCAGAAGUAUUUUAACAUUUUUUUGGAAGAAAGAACAUGUCUCAGGAGAGGCACUAAGUGCAGACAAAUGGAUGAUGUCUUUGGAAGGGACAACUGUGAUGGGGCCCCACAACAACCUUCUGAAUGGAGUGCAGCGACCUUCGCUGUCUACGUGUCUAACUAACAGUAUCCUAAAGAGGCCUCAAGCACUAAAGAGCUUUUUGUGGAAUCGAUUCCAAGAUGUCAGCAAAGCAGUGAAGAGACGGGGGAUCAACGCACCUGUCUGCACCUUAUUAAGAAGACUCCUGGGUUUUGAGUUGAUGGGCUAGUAUUGAUGCCCACCCACACCCCACAGCUUCCCCAGUUCAAGACUGGUUGGGACCUUUUGUUAUUUAUUACCAUGUUCCCCCUGAUGAUAGACUGUCUGGACGUCUGGAAGUGAGCUAGAUUCUUCAGUGAAAUUGUAAUUUUAUUUGUAUGAAGAAAAAAAAGAUAAAAUAAGUUUGUUAUAUGUGAUGUUGCAUAGUGUGUUAAUAAAAAAAAAUAAUAAAAAGUUGCCAUUGUUUUGGUUUUAAUUUUGGAAGAUGGAAAAUUGCAGUAUUUUAUUAUUUUGAAUUACAAUAUUGUAAUUGUCUCCUGUAAAAUUACAGGAAAUUCCUGGCAACUGAGUUGCAGUA